CAAUGGAUACGCUAACGGGCAACGGGCGGAGCGCGCUUUGACUUAUAAUGCGUAGAGAGAUAUCGUAUCGUGUUACAUUCACCAAAGACAAGUGAAAUAACGGUUAAGGGAUAUCUUAACCUCGGAAAUAAACCACCAUUUCAGCAUGGAUAAUUCCAAACGUGAAAGCUUUGACUGCAUCUUAUAAAAAUCGACAGCCUCCGCCUGUUUCGAAGGCGAACUUGGAAUGAGGAGCACUUGAACGAUUUCUGUACAGUCACCUGUCUCUCUUCAUAGGUAAAGAAUGUGGUUUAAUUUUUCUCGUUAAAACCUAUUAGCCUUGCUUCUCAGCCUAUCGGAACCUGAACUGCUGCCUUCCACGCGGAUGCUCUAUCCUCAGUUGGAUGGCCAAAGAAUCAGCAGACAUUUCCUCGGAUUGAAAAGUGGAAAACUUGAUACUCUGGCACUUUGCGUCGUGAAGGAGUCGGUUACUAUCUUUGGUUAUCUAGCUGUAUGAGUGUUACUCGGCCAUCAUAAAGCUAGAUAACCGAAAGUAGGAAUGGCCUCCAAACCUACAACUUGAACUGUAGCAAAUGGUGUCUGGGAUCAAAAGGACGCAAGAAGAAUUGAUGCAUUUACAGGUCAAGAGCUUUGUGCCUUGCCGGGUUGAUCCAGUGCCCUUGUCACUGCAGUGGCUGCCUGAGAGACACCCAGAGACAUUCCAGAAUGAACAACAUAUGCCGUCUUACAACUAGAAGUGACUGCCAGCCAUUCACACCACAUCUGAAUGGAGCAGGAAGAAAAUGGCACAGUCGUCACAAAAAAGGAGAAAGCAGGAGAGGGAGAAAAAGGCCAAUCUCCUUCUCCCUCUUCACAUACAUUUCCAUCACCGGAAGCCUUUGGUGCCAUCUGUGCCCCCCGGAGAAAAAGACGGGCGAGACGCCUCCACCCAGUGCCAACAGGGACAAAGGAGCUGCCAGUUAAAGCGGCCCCCCUUGCAGGCAGCCAGAGGACUGUGUGUGACUGACUGGGGCUGAGCUACGGAAGCCAUCUUGAUGGAGAGUCUUGCUGCUGCUCCUAAAAUGGCUGUGUUGGCAUGAGGUUCGGAUGGUGUUGACAACCUCCAGCGAAGACUCUUCCAUCCGUCUCUCAGCCUUAGCCCUGCUAGUCAGUAAAGAUGCAUCAGAGGGGAAAGCAUAUCAGAUGCCUGGCUGUGAAUCAAAGUCUUCUUCACUGGCAUCUUCUUCAGACAGAUGCAGAAAUUAGGGCACUGAAGAAUCCCAGUGAAUUUAACAGCCAUGUUUAAGGAAGCAGCACACUGAUUAUUUGCAUGUAAAUUAUGCUGUCCGACAGACCUUUUACUAUUACAGCAAAAUAGAAAACAUUUUGAAAUCAAAAAGGGAUGUGAUCAGCGUUUGUUCGUACCUUGAUUGAAGGACAGGUGUUUAUGUUUCCCUGUGUGGGUGCCAAUGCCAUGCUUCCCAAACGGAAAGUCACAACCUUGUGUGUGGUCACCUGAAGAUGCAUCAAAUUGCGCUGGCAGACAGUUGGGAGGGGGGUGUGAGGGUAGGAUGAUAGACAGUUGGGAGGGGGGUGUGAGGGUAGGAUGAUAGACAGUUGGGAGGGGGGUGUGAGGGUAGGAUGAUAGACAGUUGGGAGGGGGGUGUGAGGGUAGGAUGAUAGACAGUUGGGAGGGGAGGGUGAGGGUAGGAUGAUAGACAGUUGGGAGGGGGGUGUGAGGGUAGGAUGAUAGACAGUUGGGAGGGGGGUGUGAGGGUAGGAUGAUAGACAGUUGGGAGGGGGGUGUGAGGGUAGGAUGAUAGUUCAGCCAAGCUGAUGCAAACGUUAAGUGAUUUUGUAGAGGGAGUAACCAAUCAAACUUCACCAAAGCUUCCGACCACUGUUGGAUUGGUGCAGCCCGACGAGGGCCACUUGUAUAGAGAUAUGGUCGUAUUAAACAGAGAGGUUUCAGUUUUUUCCAUACGAAUGUGACUCAUAGUACAUACAACCCUUUUAUUUUUACGUGGUGGGUAACAAAAAUGUUACAUCUAAAUGUCUUAACAACCCAUUGUUUGGAAUCCUCUACUCUAUGCAAUUGAAUGUGAAAGACUUACCUUCUGGCCAAAAUAUUUGUAUUGUUUAACUGUCACAGUUAAAAAUAAGACAUUGAUGUGUGAAGAGUGAGUACAUUUAUAUGAAUCAAAUUCUGUAUUUUUCUAAUUACAAGUAUUAUCUGCAUGUGUUCGUAAUGAUCAGGAAAUGUUCCAUAAUAAAUGUGUGGUUUACAGUAUCAAGUA